AAGUGUAAAUAAAUACAUAUAAUAAUUAUUUUAAUUUAUUUUAAAUUAAUAAAAAAUUAUAAAUCAUAUUUAUUCAAAAUUUUAUAAUAAAAUAUUUUAUAAAUUUAUAUUUUAUUAAAAAAUAUCUAUAAUAUCAAAUUUAAAUUUUUAAUGUAAAAUAGAUUAAUAGAUUUGAUAUCAAAAAUUAAAAUUUAAUUUAAUUCACGAUUUAAACUCAAAUUUAAAUUUUAAUAUAAAAUAGAUGACUAAAAAUACUACUUUUUAAAAGAUUGAUCAUAACCGUUCAUUUUUAUUUUAAAUAUUUUAGCCAGUUGAUCAUAACCGUUUGUAAAAUUGAAUUUAUAUAUGGAUAUAAAUAUUUUUUUUUAACAAAUUGAUUAUAAUCAUUCGUUCUUAUUUGAGAUAAUUUUUUAUAAAUUGACCAUAAAUGUGUAUAUCAUGUUAAUUAAAACAAAAUGAUUUAUUCGGAUUUAUUUGAGAAGUUGAAUCCGGACGGAAUGGAUAUUUAUUCGGAUUAACUUUAUUUUUUUAAUUUUUUAAUUAAAAUAUGAGUUUAAAUUUAGAAAUUAAAUAUAUG
rnacentral:lncRNA from 1 species